CAGACUGUAAUUUAGUAUAGUAAUUGAAAAUUAAUAACCCCCAUUUCACAGUGUUAGUAAUGUUGAGAGUUUUAUCUAUUAAUGAGAAAUCUGAGGAUAACAUAUUCACGAUAAGUAUUAUUAGGAUAAACGAAAUGAAUGUAAGCUCCAGCGGUUGGAGAAUUCAGCGUUGUUCAACGCGGCACACCUGGUUCCAUAAAUUUUUUUUCUGGCACUUGUGUUUUGACGUAUCUUUUGACUUUUCUGUGACUAAACACUCAAUCAUUGAUUUUAAAAGCUCCAAAUUUGGCUGCAUCAAAUCGAGAAUCACUUUGCCUUUCUUUACUUAAAAGUCUAUCAUCGGUCUGGCCAAUUUUUUUUUACAUUUGCGUGCGUUAUCACUCGUCCUGAUAAACUUUUUAAGUUCACUUUGUUAGACUUUGAUGUUUAUUUUUAAGUUAUUCGAUUGCAUUUUUAAUCUCUUAUCGACUUUUAAUCUUUUGCUGGUGCAGUUACUUACUGAGUGCAUCUCUGAAAAAGUGUUUGGAUUUGUCAACUUUUCAUCCUUACUCUUCAGCAAACUUCAAUUUGGAAAUCUGAUUCUGGACUCGAUUUUGAGGUUAUCUGGUCCCAUCAGAUUAAUUACAAGAAAGUAUCGUAGUUUUUAAUCUUGCAUAUGUACUUGCGGCUAUUAAAAGUAAUUACUUUGGAUUUACCCAGUGCCGAUUAAGAGACUGAUUUGUCCCGAGGUUUCCUGACGGACAGUGACCGUAGACUCAAAAUGAACUACCAGAAUACUUACGGUUGAAGAAUGCAGGAUGAUUUCUGAAGCGUCAUGUUCAACAUCAAUUCCAUCAACAGCUCCAGGUUCAAUGGUGUGUUAUCAUACUCUACCAAGAAAACUACGAGCAGAAAAGAUAGGAAAGGCUGCAAAAAGGAAAAAAUCGAUUCAAUCCUGAAGGAUAAGAUGGUUUCAGCAUGUCGACCGCCAAUCCAGGUCAGCGACAAGAAGCAAGUGAAACACAUCUACCCGCGCCUCAACCACGGUCUGAAAACCAACCGCAAACCAGACCCCGAGCCGCUGGACCCCUACUCAUUCACUGAAGAUGCACAGCAGACAAAACGCUAUGCCAAGUUCCACGAUGAAGUUAACGGACAGUCGAGCAGCCUCGGUCAUAUCAUCAGCCGACAGCUCAAAAGUGGGUCAACUUACCGAACCAGUGACGAUAGUAGUUUCACUCGGCGGUUGAACGAGUGUGUAAAACCGCAGCCGAUAUUGAAGGCGGUCAAACCAGAUUCCUCGGCGAAUAGAUCUAAUUUAGCUUUUAAUUUCCCACAGAAGUGUAAAGUUCCAGAAGACUGUAAGUAUGGUUCACAGACCAAUGUUCCUACUGCUGAGAACAUUCUGCCAGAUUUCGGGAAAAGCAUUGGCAAGGUCGCUCUUCGACCCAAGAGGAAGCUGAGUAGCUGGAGGAAGGAUAAUGGUACGAAGCACGAGGCUCUCCAGAGAAUACAGGACCUCCUGAAAAGGGAAUCUCAACUGCAAUCUGACUUAUUUCCAUUAGAAUUCUCCAGUUCAGAAGAUGAAGCAGAUAUCAUCUGUGAUGCUAAGAACCUGGUUGAGCAAUGCUCGCUACCUUCAUUUCCUUCAGUGGAUCGGGAGACUAGGCUUUCCCAAAUCAAGAACGAAACCUGCAAAAAGCUCCAGCAGACGUUGAUUAAACUGAGUAGUUCGAAUAGUUGCCCGCCGCCUCUUGUUAGUUCUAUAAUUAAUGCCGCCAGGGUCUGUCCCUCGCAAACUGCUUUCCUUCUUAAUCCUCAGUACAACCCCUCGCUAAAAAAGACAGGUACGUGUUCUUGAUUCUAUCGAUUCUAUGAUGAUGAUUUGUGCAGAGUGGCCAAAAGCCUGGAAUGUCAGAAAAACCAGGAAUUGUCAGGGAGUUUGUAACGGCCGCGGAAAAUCAAAGAAUGUCGGGGAAAUUUAACAGAAAGUCAGGGAAUUUUGAUUGACUACAUUGUUCGUGUUGCUGAUGCGGUUGCGGUUAUUCCCUCUGGCGCAUUUCAAGUGAACAAUGAGGUUUAUACCCGAAAGUCAGUCUCUCUAUUUAAAUUCUCAAAAAGUAUCAUAGUUUAAGAAUACCUACAGAUUUGCUCUACCUGAGAUAAUUUUUAAAAUAGGGAGACUUACUUUUGGGUGUACCCUCGUAUUUGGGUCCCUUGAGCAUUUUCAUUUUUCCGAGUUGGUGUGUUUUUGUUCUCCCUGAUUCCAUUAUUUCGUGCAGAGAUGGGAAGUGUAAGUUUGGUGCAACUAAGGGAAGGUGAAGACUUAGAAUUUUCCAACCUUGGUUUUUCUGCUGUUUUACCUUGUCAGCAAGUGUGUAUAGCAAUUUUUCUCGAGUUUAAAAGUGAGGGAAUUUCUCAUAAAAGGUCAGGGAAUUUUAAGAUUCUAAACUUUUGGCCACCCUGUUUGUGAUAUUGUCAUUAUUGUAAACAGACUCCAGUGCUCCCUUACAUUUUUUUCAGAACUAGUUUGGCAUGUUUUUUAGGGUUGAAUCCACUCAAAGUGGCCAGAAGGAUAUCGACAGUUAAAUUUGAAAACCGCAUACCCUGGUUCG
rnacentral:lncRNA from 1 species